rnacentral:rRNA from 1 species
AUUGAACGCUGGCGGCAGGCCUAACACAUGCAAGUCGAACGGUAACAGGAAACAGCUUGCUGUUUCGCUGACGGGUGGCGGACGGGUGAGUAAUGUCUGGGAAACUGCCUGAUGGAGGGGGAUAACUACUGGAAACGGUAGCUAAUACCGCAUAACGUCGCAAGACCAAAGAGGGGGACCCUCGGGCCUCUUGCCAUCGGAUGUGCCCAGAUGGGAUUAGCUUGUUGGUGGGGUAACGGCUCACCAAGGCGACGAUCCCUAGCUGGUCUGAGAGGAUGACCAGCCACACUGGAACUGAGACACGGUCCAGACUCCUACGGGAGGCAGCAGUGGGGAAUAUUGCACAAUGGGCGCAAGCCUGAUGCAGCCAUGCCGCGUGUAUGAAGAAGGCCUUCGGGUUGUAAAGUACUUUCAGCGGGGAGGAAGGGAGUAAAGUUAAUACCUUUGCUCAUUGACGUUACCCGCAGAAGAAGCACCGGCUAACUCCGUGCCAGCAGCCGCGGUAAUACGGAGGGUGCAAGCGUUAAUCGGAAUUACUGGGCGUAAAGCGCACGCAGGCGGUUUGUUAAGUCAGAUGUGAAAUCCCCGGGCUCAACCUGGGAACUGCAUCUGAUACUGGCAAGCUUGAGUCUCGUAGAGGGGGGUAGAAUUCCAGGUGUAGCGGUGAAAUGCGUAGAGAUCUGGAGGAAUACCGGUGGCGAAGGCGGCCCCCUGGACGAAGACUGACGCUCAGGUGCGAAAGCGUGGGGAGCAAACAGG